rnacentral:rRNA from 1 species
UGCUGCAUGGCUGUCGUCAGCUCGUGUCGUGAGAUGUUGGUUAAGUCCCGCAACGAGCGCAACCCUCGUCCUUAGUUGCCAUCAUUAAGUUGGGCACUUUAAGGAAACUGCCGGUGAUAAGCCGGAGGAAGGUGGGGAUGACGUCAAGUCCUCAUGGCCCUUACAGGCUGGGCUACACACGUGCUACAAUGGCAUCUACAGAGGGCUGCGAAGCCGCGAGGUGGAGCGAAUCCCAGAAAACCUGUCUCAGUCCGGAUUGAAGUCUGCAACUCGACUUCAUGAAGGCGGAAUCGCUAGUAACCGCGAAUCAGCAGGUCGCGGUGAAUACGUUCCCGGGCCUU